UGUGUGACAGAGGUUCCUAGCAGAACACUUGAAAAGGUAAGCUAAUCAAAAUGAAGACACUGUUAGUUCUCGUCUUCAAGACAGCCUUCUUAAAGAUAGUUCACAAUUACAAGACUCAACCAUUGUCGACAAUUUUAUUUUUCUAUUUUAUGCAGGGCCAGGCUUGGACUAUUAUGAAUGUUGCUGAACACUGUUAAUCAAGCUUACACAGCUAUUUUGAUGGCAAACAAUUAGAACUCUGCAGCUCUACCUUGCAAUUAGCUUCAGGGAUAUGGACCUCAGCACCAUAAUAAUGAAAGAGACCUCCUUCAAGCACGACUUCCAAGCAUUGCUGUUACCAAAUUUCAUCAGCCAACUAUCUGCUGUGGCCUGUCAAACAGAAUCCACGUGCAUGAUCUGGAUUUUGAUUCGGGGAGCGCUUGCAAAAGAAUUAGUAGCAAAACAGGAUCCUGAAAGAAACCGAGGCUCAAAGUGGUCAGUCCUUACAGGAAGAACAGCAAGAGACUCCACAGGUCUGGAAAACAGCCAACAACAGAAGCUCAGGGAUGAAGACCAGGGAGGCACUGCUGAAAUGCAGGUGUGAGGUUGUUCUGAAGGCACACUCUUCAUCCACGUGAGCCAAGGGAGGGAGUGCUCGUCAUGGGCUUCCUGAGGAAAGUCAGUGCCACCGCAGAAAAGGCUAGAAACCACAUGAUACAAAGAUGUCUUUUUUUAAAUAUUCUGAUUUUUUUUUUUUAAACAGAGAAUUAACAAAUCCUUAAUAUAAGAGCAUAUCCUGUCCUGGAUGAAUCUGGGCUUGACUCUUUGGGUGUCCAUGGCAACUUCUGCUUUGUUUGUAGGCGCUGGGACCUUAUCUGGUAAGAGUAUCACUUGAGAGUCUUGCUAAGGUUGGAGAAACCGACACCAACACAGGUCAUCAGCACUUUAUCCCACCCUUGAGUUUAUCUGAAAUUUAAAUUUAACUGGCUUCUUGUAUUUAAUUUGACAAUUCUAGUGUAAAUCUGAUGCGGAUUUCAAAGAUUUCAUACUGAACAGUAUCUUUUUCAUACAAUAUUAAGAAUAUGGACAAUAUUAAGGCUUCUUUUCCCUCAGGCUUAGUUUAAACUCUUAGUAAAAGUAGAAUAAGAAAUUUGUACUCUGAAAUUCCUCUAGAUUGCUUAAAACACAUGAAUAUUGGGCAUAAAUAUAGAAAUAAAAAUAUGUGAUAUUCAAAACA
rnacentral:lncRNA from 1 species